CGCCGACAUUUUUCAGGCCGA
rnacentral:siRNA from 1 species